AUUGAACGCUGGCGGCAUGCCUUACACAUGCAAGUCGAACGGUAACAGGUCUUCGGAUGCUGACGAGUGGCGAACGGGUGAGUAAUACAUCGGAACGUGCCUAGUAGUGGGGGAUAACUACUCGAAAGAGUGGCUAAUACCGCAUGAGAUCUACGGAUGAAAGCAGGGGAUCGCAAGACCUUGUGCUACUAGAGCGGCCGAUGGCAGAUUAGGUAGUUGGUGGGAUAAAAGCUUACCAAGCCGACGAUCUGCAGCUGGUCUGAGAGGACGGUCAGCCACACUGGGAGUGAGACACGGCCCAGACUCCUAGGGGAGGCAGCAGUGGGGAAUUUUGGACAAUGGGCGCAAGCCUGAUCCAGCAAUGCCGCGUGCAAGAUGAAGGCCUUCGGGUUGUAAACUGCUUUUGUACGGAACGAAAAGCCCUGGGUUAAUACCCUGGGGUCAUGACGGUACCGUAAGAAUAAGCACCGGCUAACUACGUGCCAGCCGCCGCAGUAA
rnacentral:rRNA from 1 species